rnacentral:rRNA from 1 species
CAGAGGGUGCAAGCGUUGUUCGGAAUUAUUGGGCGUAAAGCGCGUGUAGGCGGCUUGGCAAGUCGGGUGUGAAAUCCCUCAGCUCAACUGAGGAAGUGCGCCCGAAACUGCUUUGCUUGAGUGUCGGAGAGGAUGGCGGAAUUCCCCAAGUAGAGGUGAAAUUCGUAGAUGUGGGGAGGAACACCGGUGGCGAAGGCGGCCAUCUGGACGACAACUGACGCUGAGACGCGAAAGCGUGGGUAGCAAACAGGAUUAGAUACCCUGGUAGUCCACGCCGUAAACGAUGAGAACUAGGUGUCGUGGGUGUUGACCCCCGCGGUGCCGUAGCUAACGCAUUAAGUUCUCCGCCUGGGAAGUACGGCCGCAAGGCUA